UACGGAGGGUGCAAACGUUGCUCGGAAUCAUUGGGCGUAAAGCGCACGUAGGCGGCUAGAUAAGUCGGGUGUGAAAGCCCUGGGCUCAACCCAGGAAGUGCAUUCGAAACUGUCUAGCUUGAAUCUCGGAGGGGGUCAGAGAAUUCCCGGUGUAGAUGUGAAAUUCGUAGAUAUCGGGAGGAAUACCAGUGGCGAAGGCGCUGACCUGGACGAAGAUUGACGCUGAGGUGCGAAAGCGCGGGGAGCAAACAGG
rnacentral:rRNA from 1 species